rnacentral:rRNA from 1 species
UGAGGAAUAUUGGUCAAUGGGCGCGAGCCUGAACCAGCCAAGUAGCGUGAAGGAUGAAGGUCCUACGGAUUGUAAACUUCUUUUAUAAGGGAAUAAAGUCACCCACGUGUGGGUGUUUGUAUGUACCUUAUGAAUAAGCAUCGGCUAACUCCGUGCCAGCAGCCGCGGUAAUACGGAGGAUGCGAGCGUUAUCCGGAUUUAUUGGGUUUAAAGGGAGCGUAGACGGGUCGUUAAGUCAGUUGUGAAAGUUUGCGGCUCAACCGUAAAAUUGCAGUUGAUACUGGAUAUCUUGAGUGCAGUUGAGGCAGGCGGAAUUCGUGGUGUAGCGGUGAAAUGCUUAGAUAUCACGAAGAACUCCGAUUGCGAAGGCAGCCUGCUAAGCUGCAACUGACAUUGAGGCUCGAAAGUGUGGGUAUCAAACAGGAUUAGAUACCCUGGUAGUCCACACGGUAAACGAUGAAUACUCGCUGUUUGCGAUAUACUGCAAGCGGCCAAGCGAAAGCGUUAAGUAUUCCACCUGGGGAGUACGCCGGCAACGGUGAAACUCAAAGGAAUUGACGGGGGCCCGCACAAGCGGAGGAACAUGUGGUUUAAUUCGAUGAUACGCGAGGAACCUUACCCGGGCUUGAAUUGCAACUGAAUGAUGUGGAGACAUGUCAGCCGCAAGGCAGUUGUGAAGGUGCUGCAUGGUUGUCGUCAGCUCGUGCCGUGAGGUGUCGGCUUAAGUGCCAUAACGAGCGCAACCCUUAUCGAUAGUUACCAUCAGGUUAUGCUGGGGACUCUGUCGAGACUGCCGUCGUAAGAUGUGAGGAAGGUGGGGAUGACGUCAAAUCAGCACGGCCCUUACGUCCGGGGCUACACACGUGUUACAAUGGGGGGUACAGAAGGCAGCUACACGGCGACGUGAUGCUAAUCCCGAAAGCCUCUCUCAGUUCGGAUUGGAGUCUGCAACCCGACUCCAUGAAGCUGGAUUCGCUAGUAAUCGCGCAUCAGCCACGGCGCGGUGAAUACGUUCCC